UGGGUAGACGAAUUGACCCCAACUGAAGUUCAAUUCUAACGUUAAAAGGAGUUUUAUAUG
rnacentral:sRNA from 1 species